rnacentral:rRNA from 1 species
AUGCACGCUGGCGGCGUGCCUAAUACCUGCCAGUCGAGCGAACAGACGAGGAGCUUGCUCCUCUGACGUUAGCGGCGGACGGGUGAGUAACACGUGGAUAACCUACCUAUAAGACUGGGAUAACUUCGGGAAACCGGAGCUAUUACCGGAUAAUAUAUUAAACCGCAUGGUUCAAUAGUGAAAGACGGUUUUGCUGUCACUUAUAGAUGGAUCCGCGCCGCAUUAGCUAGUUGGUAAGGUAACGGCUUACCAAGGCAACGAUGCGUAGCCGACCUGAGAGGGUGAUCGGCCACACUGGAACUGAGACACGGUCCAGACUCCUACGGGAGGCAGCAGUAGGGAAUCUUCCGCAAUGGGCGAAAGCCUGACGGAGCAACGCCGCGUGAGUGAUGAAGGUCUUCGGAUCGUAAAACUCUGUUAUUAGGGAAGAACAAAUGUGUAAGUAACUAUGCACGUCUUGACGGUACCUAAUCAGAAAGCCACGGCUAACUACGUG